rnacentral:rRNA from 1 species
UACGGGGGGAGCAAGCGUUGUUCGGAUUUACUGGGCGUAAAGGGCGCGUAGGCGGCCACCGCAAGUCAGUUGUGAAAUCUCUGGGCUUAACCCAGAAAGGUCAACUGAUACUGCGGGGCUAGAGUGCGGAAGGGGCAACUGGAAUUCUCGGUGUAGCGGUGAAAUGCGUAGAUAUCGAGAGGAACACCUGCGGCGAAGGCGGGUUGCUGGGCCGACACUGACGCUGAAGCGCGAAAGCUAGGGGAGCGAACGGG